rnacentral:rRNA from 1 species
CCUUACGGAGAAAGAUUUAUCGCCGAAAGAUCGGCCCGCGUCUGAUUAGCAGUUGGUGAGGUAAUGGCUCACCAAGGCGACGAUCAGUAGCUGGUCUGAGGGAUGAUCAGCCACAUUGGGACUGAGACACGGCCCAAACUCCUACGGGAGCAGCAGUGGGGAAUAUUGGACAAUGGGCGCAAGCCUGAUCCAGCCAUGCGCGUGAGUGAUGAAGGCCCUAGGGUUGUAAAGCUCUUUUGUGCGGGAAAUAAUGACGGGUACCCGCAAGAAUAAGCCCCGGCUAACUUUCGUGCCAGAAGCCGCGGUAUUACGAAGGGGGCUAGCCGUUGUUCGGAAUCACUGGGCCUAAAGGGUGGCGUAGGCCGGGGUCUUUUAAGUCAGGGGUGAAAAUC